rnacentral:rRNA from 1 species
UGGGGAAUAUUGCACAAUGGAGGGAACUCUGAUGCAGCGACGCCGCGUGAACGAAGAAGGCUUUCGAGUCGUAAAGUUCUUUUAUAUGGGAAGAUAAUGACGGUACCAUAAGAAAAAGCCCCGGCUAACUACGUGCCAGCAGCCGCGGUAAUACGUAGGGGGCUAGCGUUGUCCGGAAUCACUGGGCGUAAAGGGUUCGCAGGCGGAAAUGCAAGUCAGAUGUAAAAGGCAGUAGCUUAACUACUGUAAGCAUUUGAAACUGCAUAUCUUGAGAAGAGUAGAGGUAAGUGGAAUUUUUAGUGUAGCGGUGGAAUGCGUAGAUAUUAAAAAGAAUACCGGUGGCGAAGGCGACUUACUGGGCUCAUUCUGACGCUGAGGAACGAAAGCGUGGGUAGCAAACAGG